AACGAACGCUGGCGGCAUGCCUAACACAUGCAAGUCGAACGAUGCCUUCGGGCAUAGUGGCGCACGGGUGCGUAACGCGUGGGAAUCUGCCUUUCGGUUCGGAAUAACUCAGGGAAACUUGAGCUAAUACCGGAUAACGUCGCAAGACCAAAGAUUUAUCACCGAAAGAUGAGCCCGCGUAGGAUUAGCUAGUUGGUGAGGUAAAGGCUCACCAAGGCGACGAUCCUUAGCUGGUCUGAGAGGAUGAUCAGCCACACUGGGACUGAGACACGGCCCAGACUCCUACGGGAGGCAGCAGUGGGGAAUAUUGGACAAUGGGCGAAAGCCUGAUCCCGCAAUGCCGCGUGAGUGAUGAAGGCCUUAGGGUUGUAAAGCUCUUUUACCCGGGAAGAUAAUGACGGUACCGGGAGAAUAAGCCCCGGCUAACUCCGUG
rnacentral:rRNA from 1 species